rnacentral:tRNA from 1 species
GACCCUGUAGCUCAGCUGGAUAGAGCAGCAGCCUUCUAAGCUGCCGGUCGUUGGUUCGAAUCCAACCAGGGUCGCCG